CGAUCACAAGAUUCACAGCUAAAUAAAAUAAAAAUUAAAAUGCAUUUAUCACCAAAAAGAAAUAACAGACACUUAGAAUAGAACAAAUAUGACAUUACAUUAGGAAAAGUCUCCAUUACCAUCAGUCCUUAUAGACUGCAACGUCUCAACUGUACUCUUUCACGCGGCCAACCGCGUGACACUUUCUGCCAUCUCCGUUAACAUUGAACAAAACACGGGAUGAAGAAAAUGCUGUCGAAGAAGUUAUCAAUGUUUAUAGAAAUAAACGAAUAGCUUCGUGUAGUUAUUUGAAUUAAUUUUGUUUCUUUAUAGGUCUGCAAAAAAGUAUUUGCGGAAUAUUUCAGAAAAAUAAAAUCAGAAAGUACAAUGUUUAGAAAUUUUGUGUGUUUACCAAUGUGAAAAGUAGUUAGUAUGUCAAAUGUAUUUGUAUAAAAAUUUUGAAAAUAAAGCACUAUACCAUGUUUUGUUGUACGACUGUCGAUACGGCGGGCACCGCUGAAUUUUUCACACCCCUUCCCCCACGCCCCGCCCUCCGGACAACCGCCAAGGU